rnacentral:lncRNA from 1 species
CGGAGCUGUCCAGGCACCUGCCCUGAUGCUGAAGCUAGCAUGUUUUGACACCUUGAAUGGCCCCAGAGCUCAGCCUCUGGACGUGGAAUCUGCCUCAGGGCCCGUCACAGGGCACCAAGGCAGAAGACGGCAGCCAGGACACAAAUGCCUCCCCUCCACCCUACAGUGACAUUUCCUCGAAAGGCUCAACUCAUUAGGAUAAGUUUUCUUGGAAAUGGAGGGAAGGCGGUUGGAGUCCCUAAGGACUCCUGUAUGUGGGGUGUCCCCCGGGUUAAUGGCAAGCUCUGGUCUUGGCCAAGAGCCUACCACGGCAUUGCUCCUCUGGCUGUUCUUGGGAGUGCUAUCCGGCUGGUCCCUCCUGCCCUUCCCUGCACCUACCCCAGGCCUCUGCUUCGCCUGGCUCCUCUGCCCCUAUGGACGCCCCUUCCCCAGUUACCAAGCUGGGUUCAUCUUUUUUUUUUAAAUAUUUAUUUUUUAGUUGUAGUUGGACACAACACCUUUAUUUCACUUGUUUAUUUUUGUGUGGUGCUGAGGAUGGAACCCAGUGCCUCACACGUGCUAGGCGAGCCACAACCCCAGCCCGUGGGUUCAUCUUUUUGCUCCAGUCCUUCCUUCCACAAACUGGACAUGAGACGAGGUGGGAGACCCACUGGACUGUCCACUGUGAUGGUUAAUUUCAUGUGUCAGCUUGGCUGUGCAACGGGAUGCCCAGAUAGCUGAUUAAAUGUGACUUUUGGGUGUGUCUGCGAGGGUGAUUUUGGAGGAGACUGGCAUCUGAAUGGGUGGGCUGAAGCACAGCAGCAGCAGCCCUCUCCAAAGUGGGCACGCAUUGUCCGACCCCCUGAGAGUCUGGGGAGAGCGCUCUGGCUCUAGGGCUUUGGUCUCCAGCUUGCAGAUGGCCCAUCGUGGAACUUCUUGGCCUCCAUGAUCCCAUGAGCGUACCUUAUAAUAGACUUCUUCAUAUGCACGUGUGUGUAUACAGAAGGCAUUAAGAACAUGCUGCUCCAGAAUAUGCCACUCUGGUGUACUGACUAUAUUGAGUUAGACACUCAAAAGACAACAGGUACUGGAUCAUUCGGACCGUCCUUCCUUGACUUAAAAGCAGGAGGUGAAAUUCCCACGUGAACGCUGCCCUCCCUCUACAGAGGGAAAACCUCAUUCCCACCAGCAAGGAUGCAAGGGAGAUCCCCCGACAAUCCUCAUUAAACCCACCCCCCUCUCCCUAGCCUCUUCUCCAUCCAGUUACCCACCUCCCAAGCCGCUCAGCCUCCUCCAUUUUCACAAUUAGCUACUCUUUGUCCAGCUCACACUCACACUCCCACGCUAACCAUGUCUUUGGUCUUCUCAUCCCACGAAGCCUCCUGCGCCUUGGAAAGUUUGGAUGAAGUCAAUUUAACGCUCUCGGGCUGGUCUGGCUCCUGUUGAUUGAGUUCUCAGGCCUAGCCAAAGGAGAGGGGGAACAAGAUAGAGGUAAAUUCCGGGGUCCCCUAGUUUCUAACAAGGAGAAGGGGUUCCCUGGCUGGGACCCGGCUUGCUCCAGGCUGCUGAAGCCGAGACUCCUGACAGAAGCCAGCAGGAGGGGAGGAUGCUCAGCCCGGCCUGCUCCCAGACCUCUGGCGCCAGGUCCAGCUGAAGCCUAGCAAGAGUCUCUCCUUGUCUCCUUCCCUUCCAAAAUUCAGGAGAAAACCUCUGGGUGAGCCAGGUCUU